CAGCUGGGUGAGGCAAUGAGGGCACUGCAGAGGCUUCAUCAGCAGAGAGGAACGAUUCCAGCGAGAAGAUAGCGAGGCUUCAGUUAACUGUCCCCAGCUCCUCACCAUGCCCACGUAGCCAGGGUGUGUCUGCAGGGCCUGGAAGACACUGAGAUACCAACGGCCUCCCCUGGCUGCUCAGGGAGGGCAGCUUAUCUCCCAGAGCAAAGCCUUUCCUGCUAUCAGCACCCCGAGAGACACCCAACUGUCUUCCAACUGCUCUGAUGGAGUGAUAAGCCCGGAGUGUUUGCUGCUCAGCCAGCCUGGGAAGCUCCAGAGCACCGGGGGCUCAUCUGGGGCAGGGAGAGCUGCAACAGCCUGGUUGUGAGUGCUGGGAGAGUUUGGGAUGUUGGGAGUUCUGAAUUCCUCCUUUUUUCCCAGCUCUCACCCUGUGAGGGGCUGUAGGGUUCACCCCAGCUGAGGGCGAGCAGCGCAGGCAGUGAAAGUUCAGGGAAUUGAAAAAGGAAAGUUCAAAGAAAAACGGUGAAAAUCCAGGAAGAAUUUCUAUGUGGAAAGGGAGGACAGGCACGGGAAGGGGCUGGGCUCCUGGGGAUGUCCAGGGAAGGACUGGAUGUGGCAAUCAGUGCUCUGCUGUGGGUGACAGGGUAAGGAUCAGGCACAGGAUGGUCUCAGAGGGCUUUUCCAACCUGAACAAUUCAGGUGUGAAACGCUGGAAUUGGCUCCACUUGGAGCAGUACCUGUCCCUGAAUUCAGACACCACCUGAGGGUGUCAGCAUUUUGUUUGUGUUAGUUUUGCAGUGGUUUUCCAGGCACAGUGGCUGUGGUUUCCCCCAGAAAUGAAUCCAUGAGGAGGUGACCAGGUAUGAGAGAACCCACGGGAUUUUUAGUGUUGAUAACUAAUAAAAGCCAGAGCACGAGGGGAAAUCAGAUCCUCUGAUUCCAGCAGCUGCUCCAAAGGCACGUGGCUCUGCUGUCUGGGCAUAAAAGUAAUGAAAAAUUGCGGUGUUGAGAUUUUGAUAAGAUUGCAGCAGUUCUCACUGGCAAUUAACGGAGGAGUUUCUGUCUGUGGAAGGAAUCUGUGGCUCUCAGUCGUUCUCCAGACAAGAAGCUGAUGGAGGGUAAUGCCAAGAAGGCUGAAAUGUGUCAAAACUUCAAAGGGUGACGGAUCAGACGAGGAUUAUAAUUGACAGAGGAGAGAAAUCUCAGUGUAGUAAGGAAAAAACAGUGUAGAGAUGCACUAAAAUUAAUCUCUAAAAUCACUUUCAGGUGAUUUGGGUAAGAUUAAAUUCACUCAGCAGGUGCCAGAAGGCCAAGAAGGGAACUUUAACCUAGAGAGGGUAGAAAAUGGUCAAGGAAAAAUGCCAAAGGUUUCUCUUAAAACAGAGGCUGAAGAUCUGAGAGAAUUAUGUGGUGUUAGCAUCUGGGAAAACAGUGGAACAAGGACUCAAAAGUGUUGUUUGUCAGCACCAAAGAGAAUGAGAAACUGCAACGGUAAUUGGGCAAGAUCCAACCAUCCCAAGCAAAGAUAAUUGAGCUAAUUUACAUCUGCAGUGAUGUUCUGAGCGCUGCUCUCCCAGAAGAGGCUGUAAAUACAUAAAGUUUUAUGGCUUUUGAUACUGUUCCACAUGGCCCAUGAGAAAGAGAAAGAAACACAGCAUAAAAUCACUCCAGAGCGUAGCCAAGGCUGCGACUUGCCCUGCACAGAGGACAACUUUGCAUGGUUUCUUUGCAGAACAGAAGGGUAGAAGUGAAGUGUGUCUUUGAGAGGUUAAAGAAUUGGAUCAGGAGUGGUGAAACAGGUCCUGGGCUGGGCAGGAGAAUGUUUCCUUCUCACCUCUGUUGAUGGAGGCUUCUGUAGAUGGCUUGGAGAGGAAGGUCAUUUUAAUUGCCUUGAAAUAAAUAAUUUUCUGCAGACAGAUCCUGAAAAAUCCCUGCUCCCUCAAAUGCUGUGUUUCUCUUGGGCCUUUGCUCUCUGAAAUGGCAGCUCUCCCUUCUGAGAAGGAUUUUAUCCUUUGCCAAAGUCCCAAACAAGAGAUUACAUGAUGUGAUUUCCUGUGUGAGCAGGACUGGCUUUAACACCCCACUGAACCUCUCAGCCUUGGAGGUUGAGGUUUGUUUUCUUGAGUGUUAGUUUGGCACCAAGCCAGCCAAGCCUUUGUGUCCUAACUUUUUAUCUAAACACAAGCACAAAGAAAGGGGAGAAUAAAAGCAUGCAGUGUCUUCCAGAAAGAGAAAACAAACUCUAAUUCUGAGUGUUCCUCCAUCAGCUUGCAGGAAAUGAAGGGACAGAGGUGAGAUGUUUUCUCUAAGCUAUAAUUCCCCCCCCGUGAGACGACAGCUCCCUGCUCACUCCUCUGUCAAGCAGAGCUGGAGGUGGCCAUUUCCCAGCCAGGCACGUCUAACAGCCUCAUCCAUUCUUUCCUUGUGGCUUUUUCUCCUCUUUUCCAGCUCAGAGCACCUGAAGCUCUGAGAAGGCUGUCGGAGCCUUCCUGAGUGGUUUAUUUUUAGCAGCAAGAGCAGGCUCCAGGCCCUGGGGAAUGCCAUGAGUGAUGUAGAAACACUUGAAAAUACCAAACUCCCCCUUUUCCACACAAGUGAGCUCUUAAACCUGCCCAGACUUUCUAAUGGCUUCAUCCAGCCCUUGUGAUCGUAUUUCAUUUCAUGGGUUUUAUUUGAUGUUUCAGUCCCGAGAUGUUUCUCCCCACGUAAAUGUUUACCAGCUCCUUCCACUGCUUCUCUCUGAAGCACCAAAAUCCCAAAAUCUUGCUCUGGAUGAGUCCCAUGGCACGGGGCUGGCUUUGACCCCGUGAAAGGAGAGCCCCUGAUUGUUUUCCCAGUUUUCCCCAGUUCCUGGGGAGCAGCUCCGAGGCUCUGCCGUGCGGGUGUUUCAUCAUUCCAUCGUUUCAGCCGGAGCACAGCAGCCAAGCAGAAUUUCCUUCGAGCUCCAGAUAAGCAGAUCCUGGUUCUCUGCUCAAGCAGCCCCUGGGGUUGCAGCUUUGAGAAAAGCCUCAAGAGGCUGAAGGGGAAGGAAGUGUUGAAUGCUGUGGAUGUAGGACAUGAAGAGGAAAAACAACACCCAGAGGUGCAGCAGCUUUAAACACAUUCCCUGAGCUGCUCAGGGUGGGCAUCCCAAAGCUGCAGCUGCAGGUAAAUGUUUUCUAAGCCCCUGUUUGGUGAGAAUUCCUCAGGAAUCAACAACAAAGAGUCAGCUCAUUGUGCAGGGAGCCUCGAUCAGCCGUGGAGAAAGUGGAUCACAUAUUGAAAAAUCGAGUUGUCUUUGUGAACAACAUGAAUGAUCAGGUUACAAAUCCCUACAAAAAAAACCCCAAACAAUUCCAGGCUCUCUGCUGAGGGCUGCAGAGCGUGGCUCUCCCAGUGCUGAGAUGUGAAACGUGUCAGGGCAGGCACAGCAUUGCUUCUUGGAAAUCACAGCUCUUCUCAGCAUCAGCAGAAUUCAAAAAAUUUAAUCAUUUCCACUUCCAGAGAGCAGAGGGAAACGGCACCCGGCGCUGCACGGGCAUUAUCGGGAAGAUGGAGCGGGAUAAGAAAGUUGUGGUCAAACCCAGCACAAAAUACUUUUAACCAGACUGAUCCUUGGAAGAAAAUCUUAGAAAAAUCGAUAACAAAUCAAGGCCAGCAGUAACAAACCAAGGACUCCUGGAGAAGUAUUCCCUAAUUUCAGACAGAUCCAUCUGUGCUCAAGCAACAGGAACUAAUGGAGGGCAGAGAAACACAGGCAAAGAGUUACACCAGGCUUGUAAAUGCACAGAUUGGAGGAAAAUAAAUGUGAUCCAAGGGUCCAGGGACACAGGACAGGGACUGAGUGUGGAAAAUCCUCAUUUUGGGGCCACCUGCCAGAGCAGCUGCCAGCUGGGCAGAAUAUCCAGGAGGAGACUUGGUCCAAGAGAGACAGAACAGGACAUGGAUGUGAUGAAUCCCAGCUCCUGCCGUGUCCUGGUGCUUCCUGGUGGGAUGGGAAUUCCUCAGCUCCCGGGUGGUGGCUGUGUCACCCCAGCAGAGGUGACAGAGGGACACCCAUGUCCUCAUGCCGGGAAAGGUGUCCACACCUUCCAGGAUCAGCCUCCAGAUGGUGCUCCAGCCAGUUCCCUGGGAUUUGCAAGGAUUCGAUUGUCUCACAGAUGGCUUUUCUGGGCUCAGGGGGAAGGAAGGAGGGUGCAGAGUGCUCAGCCCUUGCAGGGAGCCUUCGGCUGCCUCUUCCUCUUCCUCGCUGGGGGCAGCUCCUCGUUCCCAGCUCAUCCCCUGGGAGCCCCCGAGCUCGGGAAUGAGUCACAAGCGAGGUCCCCAUAGGAAAGGAGAGCUGUGGAUUCAGAACCUUGACGGUUCUGGGUAGGAAAGGUUUAUUUGUCUGGUUUGCUUUAUAAAUAAGCCAGAAAGCAGCAGCAGCUUUGUUUUUAUGCUCUCACACUCGGCGUGUGGAGGAACCUCAUCCAAGCCUUGGUCCAGGCCAGGGAGAGCAGUCCCUGUGUUUGUUUAAUGACUCAGAAUGCAAAACACCCCACUAGAUAAGGCCAAGGAGAGGGGUCAGUGACUCUGUGGGACAGCACUGAGGACCUCCCUGCUCCUUCUGGCCGUGGAGUUUCAUCCAGAGUUCCAUCUCCAUCCCUCCUGAGGAUCCCACGGGGCCUCCUCGUGCUGUGGCUGAACCUUGCUGUGUUGUGUCUUGAGUGAGGAAAAAAGGGUUAAAGAGAAACUGGAGCAAUUUAGUGGAGAAGAGAAAGAUUUGAGGUCAAAGAGCAAAAUGUUCCCGGAGGGAUUUAGGCAGGGGACCUGUGGAGUCACCCAACAGAUGACUCCAGGGAGAAACUGAAACCCUGAGAGGGAAAUUAACCCUGUGCAGGCAAGGUUAAGCCUGGCAUUUUAAAUCUGUCUGCUGAGACGAGGUUGUGGCAAUCCUGUUGUACAGGGAUGAGGGAUCAGGGAUGUUACACCAGGAAAAUCAUUGUUUGCAGAGAUGCCACAGGCAGAGGGGAGCCAGGUCUCCUCCUGACUGCUCCCUUUCCCUGCCCUGGGAACAGGAGAAUCCCUCGUGUUCCCCCUCCAAGGGGUGUGGGGACAGAGAGCAGCAUCCAGGAGGAGCUUUUUUAUCCUGUGGGCUUGUUUGAAUCUCUCCAUCACACAGUGGUGUUCUCCCUUUCACAGGAACAGCUCCAGCCCCUUUUUUCCCAUUACAAACUCCUGCCUUCGACACUUAGGGAAGGGAUUCUGGUUGUUGCCCUUGGAGGAUGAUGCUGAUAAAUGGUGGGGAUGGCUCUGGGUCUGACAGGAGGCUCUGCUGGUGAGCUGAUGAGCCUCAAAACCCAGCCUCAGGCACAGAGAACUCUCAGAAGCUCUGGAGAAGAACAGAAAGUGCUUCAGCACUCUGGGGACGUUCAGCCUCCUUCUCCCAUUGCAAAGGGCCCUUCCCUGUGUGGCUUCCCCUCCCCUCAGCCUGAUUUGCAGAGCACUCAGGAUUCCAACAAAUCUGUAAAACUGGAUAUUUCCCUCACCCAGCCCACUCUUCCUUCAGCCCUUAUCUGCCCUUACCUGUCUCCACUAGGUCGCUUUAAAAGUCCCAGACACUUCCUUCCUUUGUUUGUCUUGGCUGAAAGGGAAAUGUCUUGUGUGUCAAAGGUUUAAUGCAAAUUCCUGUCCAAGCUCUUUACUACCUCUAGCCUUGGUAAAUCAAACUCUUUCUCCCAAGUGGGGAUUUGCACAGUGAAUCAGGUUCUCUCCCCACAUUCUCCCUCUCCUGCCUGCACGUGGGAUUGAGAUGGAGCAGCAAAACAAGGUGAUAAAUCCCCACAGGCUGCUGCAAACUUGGGAUGGAAAAGAAGUUCUGGGUUUCAAAUGUGUUUGCACAGAGCCAGAGUUUCUCAAGGGCUGUCCCAGCUCUCCUCUCUCUUUAGGAAAAUCACCUGGGCUUAGAGACCCACAGGAGGGCAGGGGGCACAGCCUUGCUGAGCUCUGCCUGCACUCUGAGGAUGAAUUUCUCCAUGGAAAAGGUGGUCAGGCAUUAGAAGGGGCUGCCCAGGGAGGUUUGGAGUGCCCAUCCCUGGAUCCAAGGAAGGAUGGGACGCGGCACUCGGUGCUCUGGGCUGGGUGACAAGGUGAGGAUUUGUGCACAGGUUGGACUCGAUGAUCCUGCAGAGCUUUUCCAGCCUCAGGGAUUCCAGGAUUCCGGGAUUCAGCGCUCUUUCCCCAGGACCCAGAGAUGGAGGCUGACAGUUCCUGUCACCCUGGAAGAGUAAAAAUCCUGCUGAAACUCGAGAUGGGAAAUGGUUCAAGCAGAUUUGCCGGUGGGUGAGGUGUCCAGGGCGGUGCUGGCGUGAUGUGGAGUGAUGCUGGAUGUUGGAGAUGCCUUCUCCAUCCUGAGAAGCUCAGAGCUGGGAGAACAGAAAGAGCAGCCUGGAUUUUCCAGCAUAUGGACAGGACCCUGCUCAUCACAAGGGUUUGGAAGAGACCUGAAGGCCCAUCCAGUCCCACGCCCUGCCACGGGCAGGGACACCUCCCACCUUCCCAGGUGAGCUUUCCUGCUCUCUUCACCUUUGAAACACAAAGAUUUCUCAUCUUUUACCCUCUUUCUUCCUCCUGGGAGAUCUUGGUCAGUCAUCUCAAUUAGCCAGGAUCACUUCCUCAGGUCUGGAAACAUCUCUUUGUUAAACAGGGCAGUCUCUUAUCUGCUCCUGGCCUUUGAGCAGCUCCUUUUGGCAGCUCCUGCCUGUCCUUACACCUCACAUGCAAAUGAUGCAAAGGUCCAAGUAGGCAAAAGUUUGUAGCUCAUUACAGGAUCAGGAGUGACCCAGUCCUGGGCACUCAGUCCUGCCUGGCUGGUGGCCAAGCUCCCUCCUCAGCACAUCAUUGCCUUUCCCCUCACAUCUUUCCCUGUGAUCUUUAUUUUACCUUUUUUUUUGUUUGUUUUUUUUUCUCCUGUCUCAGAGUAUCAGGUUCCUUUAUCUGAUAACAGUGCCAUAAAAAUGCCAUGAAGGAGUUUUUUCACCUGUUGGACCUCUGCAGGGCUGGUGUCUCUGGGCCUUUAGAGGUGGGAGAAGGAUGACCACGAUCCUUCCUUUCCACUGCCAUUUUUCCCAUCAGCAUGAAGGGGUAAUUAAUGCUUGGGCUGGAAAUCUCCAGGACAGGUUGAGUGUGAUUCUCCAAUCCAGGAGCAGGGCAGGGAGCCCAGCUCCUCUCCUGGGAGAGUUUCUGUGCUCUCUGCACAAAGCAGGGCAGCCUCAGCGGAAGAGGCGGAGGAUCCUCCCGGGAGGAUCCUGCUGGCUGCUGGAGAUUUCCCUUCCCUCCAACAGAGGCAAAACCUGAAGCCAGUCCCACAUGAGGCCAUCUGCUGCUGUUGGACGGGGUGGGGGUGAGGCAGGAAGAGCAUCACUGUCUCCUCCUGGAGCUGAACCCUCAAGGUCCUUCAGCAAGGUGAAGGCAACACCCUCGGAAAGGUUUUGGAGGUGGAAUUCCAGGUGGAAGGAGCCACCUCCUGACAAGACUCAGGCUUGCAGGACAUCCUCACUCUCCUGCUUUCCUUCUUGCACUCCUCAUCCUCACGAGCUCUUCCAGGUUGUGCUCCCAGUGUGGGAGCAGAGCCCAGAGCUGCUGAGCUGUGGCCCCAGCUCCUGGCAGAUCCAGAAGAUGAUCUGUCCCCAUCCCUCAGCAUUCCUGCAGAUCCAGAGCAGGCACUGCUGGAUGAAGUUGGGCCCAGGAUGUCGCUGUCCUGGGGGGAAGUUCUCAUCUCAGGACCAUCAGAUGAGGAAACAACACUCUUCUGACCCCAAAAUCCCAAAGCUCCUGUCUGGGAAGUUGUGCUUCAGGAGCUGAGCUCUGUCCCUGGCUGUGUCCUGGGACGGGGCUUAGAGCUUCCUGAUUUAAUGGUGAUUUGAGGCUGAUUUAAGGUGUCCCUGCUGUUAAGGGUGGAACAAGAUCAGCUUCAAGGCCCCUUUCAACCCAAACCAUUCCGGAAUUGUGUGUGUGUACGGAUUUAUUUCCCACCUGCUCUCUCAGACUGCCCCUUUUCCCUUCGUUUCUCACUGAACAGCGCGAUUUCCCUUCCCGCUGGGACCGGGAGCGCUGGGUUAAUGCCACCGUCAUCGGGUGUCAGCUCUGCACAAGCACUUAACCCUCUGCGAGCUGGGAAAAAACAAAAGGAAGGAGAGGAAAAAAACCCAAUUCUGUGCCGGUGACACUUUCUCCCGGCCAACAAACAAAAGUUUUAUGAGCUGAACCCUCUGGAUGCUGCAUUCCAGCUUGGUAACAUUUCGGUAACACAUUGCAAACGUUUGACUCAUAGAAACUUGGACGGCUGGAGCCGGGGGAGGGGGAAGAGCGUCACAUUCCCAUUCCCGGGCAGGGUUUGGUUGUCGGAUUUAUUAUUUAAAAAAAAAAAAAAAAAAAAAGAACUGAAACUUCUCUCUGUUUAAUGAA